AGGAAUUCUUAAAUGGGGGCAAAGAGCCAACUUUUCUUGAGGUCUUCGAAGAGACGCAUUGGAAGAAAAAGAAGGACAGUACAAGACAAGAUUGAGCCAAAACGCAUGCUAAGGAUCAUAUAUUUUAAAAAAGCAUAGAAGAUUGGCAUCAAACCCAACCUACUUCAGAAGAUGGAACCAUGGUCCAACCAUCACUUGCAGAUAUAACUAACAUGUGGACAACUAUUAUUGGUGGUCCGAAGAAAGGUAGAACCUAUGGGUGUGGUGUUCUCGAAUCUUUGAGUAGUCCUUCGUUGUUUCCCAAUUCCUCUUCUACUUUGCAAACUAUGGAAGAAAUGAAAGCGAUGAGAAAGAAAAUUGCAAACUUGGUGCAACAUUGUGUUGAUAAUGAUGCUAGUUUGCCAAGUUUGCUAAAUUUGAGGAGUUGGUUAAGAAAACACAUGUCACAAGUAUUUGAUGCUGGGGAAGAGAGUGAACCUGAUGAUGAUUAGCUUAUAGUUGUUGUUCUUGUUUUUGGUUGUGACUUUUAGACUUAAAGUUCUCCUGGGAUGCUUAAAUAUUUGACUCGAUGUUUGUUUUGGAUUGUGACAUUACUUAAAGUUCUCUUGUGAUGUUUAAACUAUUUGACUCGAAGUUGGUUUUGGAUGUU